AUUGAACGCUGGCGGCAGGCCUAACACAUGCAAGUCGAACGGUAACAGGAAGAAGCUUGCUUCUUUGCUGACGAGUGGCGGACGGGUGAGUAAUGUCUGGGAAACUGCCUGAUGGAGGGGGAUAACUACUGGAAACGGUAGCUAAUACCGCAUAACGUCGCAAGACCAAAGAGGGGGACCUUCGGGCCUCUUGCCAUCGGAUGUGCCCAGAUGGGAUUAGCUAGUAGGUGGGGUAACGGCUCACCUAGGCGACGAUCCCUAGCUGGUCUGAGAGGAUGACAGCCACACUGGAACUGAGACACGGUCCAGACUCCUACGGGGAGGCAGCAGUGGGGAAUAUUGCACAAUGGGCGCAAGCCUGAUGCAGCCAUGCCGCGUGUAUGAAGAAGGCCCUUCGGGUUGUAAAAGGUACUUUUCAGCGGGGAGGAAGGGGAGUAAAGGUUAAUACCCUUUUGACUUCCAUUUGACGUUUACCGCAGAAGAAGCAACCGGCUAACUCCGUGCC
rnacentral:rRNA from 1 species